rnacentral:lncRNA from 1 species
UUAUCAUAAUCGGACCAAACUAAUCGAUUCAAUUAGUGAGAGAGUGAACUAGCACGACGCCUAUCUGAUUCUCAAAUUGAAUCGUUUAAAAUACCAAUUCAACACCAUCUAGCUCUUCCCCCAAAAAAUCCAAGAAGAACCUAGACAUUUUUUUACCGAUGAAUCGUCGGCCAAAAGAAAUAAAAUACUCCAACAUUCUUCUCCAAGCCGUCGGCCACAGGCCCACAACAUAUCGAUUGUCUAUUUUCCCUCACUCCAUGACCAACCUCAACCACUGUGAGAAGCGUCCUCUAUCAAAUCCUCAACACCAAUAGCAGUGAUGGACUCUCCCUAACGGCAACGACUCUCUCUGUAUUCCUCUUGGCCAAAACAGUCUCCACUAGCUUCAAGCCUUCAACCAUCAGCUCCUCAACAUUACAGCAACCCCUGCCAGCACCAGAUCCAACAACCCCAGCUCCAGCACCAUCACCACUAUGACGGUGACUCUCACCGCUAACAUAGGAGUGAAGAGCAGAAGGAGAUCAACCCGACCCGCCCAUUUUUUGUCUUCAUCGGCGACGACGCUUAAACCCACAUGCUGCCACUAUUCAUCCGCUUCCCAAAGUCUUCCACCACUGGUUCCUUGCUUAUAACAACCAAUCUAAUUAAUUCCCAGUUUUUGGAAUAAUCUCAAAUCAUAUUUGUUGACAAUUUGAAAAUUUUGAAAUUUUAGGACAAAAUGUGUAUAAUUUUGGGUUGUUCGAAAACAUUAAUUUGGUUUUGUGUGUGUUAUUUAUUUUAAAAUGAUUUGAUUAUUCAGGUUGUGAUUGUUUUUAAGUUUUUUUUUUGAAGUUGUGAUUGUGUUUUUAAUAUUAAAUAUUAAUUCAUGGAUUAUGUCUGGAUUUAUAUUAAUUUAUUUCAAUUAAUAUAAAAUUUGAAUUAAGUAUAUGAAAUUAAUAAGAAUUGUGUGGAUUGUUUGUGUUGUUUUAGUUUUGAAUGGAUGAAUAUUAAUUCGUCUUGAAUUGAUAUCAUGAUUAAAAUAACUUUGAUUAAAAUAUAUUUUUAUGUUUUGUCAAAUAUAAUCUGUCUGAUUUUAAUAAAUUAUUAAAAGAUCAUCUUGUAUUUAAUUUCAGGUUCCUUAUAUUUUUUUAUCCCUGCAGGAUAUUUUUUAUCCCAGCAUAUUUAGUAUUUGGUAUUGGAAUUCACAUGAGAGUGCUCGUUAAGUAUUAAAUAAAUCAAUUUCUUCCACAAAAUGUUUUCCAUAAUAGUAAACUAGCUUAUUUUAUUGCAUUCAACAAGAAAGACAAGGCACACGCAUGCAUCCAUGCUGCUGGUGCGUAUUAUUCCUCCUAACUAGUCACACAGGAUUAUACUAUUGAACUUUUUUAUUUCUCCAAUGAUAUAUCAUCAUAAAUUCACCUCAGAACUACUCCUUAUAUUUCUACAACAUUGAUAGCACAGCCAGCUUCAACUUUUAAACAGUGGAGGGGAAAACCAUCCGGAGGUUCGAAGGGAGGGGUGUUACUGUUACUGCUACCCACCUUCAAAUAGAAUUUCCUAUUUGACAUGUCAAUGUCAUAUCCCGUGUGGAGCAGCCACUUCAAAUCCCCAAAUGUAUUAUGCCUAUGAACCAAGAGGUUAUAAGGAGCUGUUAGGGUUACUUCAUCUUUAGUAUCUGAAACCCAGCAAACAAUUGAAAACAUAUCUUGGACAAUGAUAAAAGUGUUAUUAGGAAUUUGAUAGCUAUAUAAUAUGAUGUUAUCCUCCAGUAUGAACCCAUUAUACAGUAACCGUGGCUGCAUGAGCCCUAGAGUUUGCCGG